UGCGGAGGGAUCAUUACACAAUAAAAUAUGAAGGCUGUACGCGGCUGUGCUCUCGGGCCAGUUUUGCGGAGGCUGAAUUAUUUAUUACCCUUGUCUUUUGCGCACUUGUUGUUUCCUGGGCGGGUUCGCCCGCCACCAGGACCACAUCAUAAACCUUUUUUAUGCAGUUGCAAUCAGCGUCAGUAUAACAAAUGUAAAUCAUUUACAACUUUCAACAACGGAUCUCUUGGUUCUGGCAUCGAUGAAGAACGCAGCGAAAUGCGAUACGUAGUGUGAAUUGCAGAAUUCAGUGAAUCAUCGAAUCUUUGAACGCACAUUGCGCCCUUUGGUAUUCCAAAGGGCAUGCCUGUUCGAGCGUCAUUUGUACCCUCAAGCUUUGCUUGGUGUUGGGCGUUUUUUGUCUUUGGUUGCCAAAGACUCGCCUUAAAAGGAUUGGCAGCCGGCCUACUGGUUUCGCAGCGCAGCACAUUUUUGCGCUUGCAAUCAGCAAAAGAGGACGGCAAUCCAUCAAGACUCCUUCUCACGUUUGACCUCGGAUCAGGUAGGGAUACCCGCUGAACUUAAGCAUAU
rnacentral:rRNA from 1 species